CCUACGGGGGGCUGCAGUGAGGAAUAUUGGUCAAUGGGCGUAAGCCUGAACCAGCCAUCCCGCGUGCAGGAAGAAGGCGCUAUGCGUCGUAAACUGCUUUUCCAGGGGAAGAAAACCCUCGACGUGUCGGGGCUUGCCGGUACCCUGGGAAUAAGCAUCGGCUAACUCCGUGCCAGCAGCCGCGGUAAUACGGAGGAUGCGGGCGUUAUCCGGAUUUAUUGGGUUUAAAGGGUAUUAAGGCGGAUGAAUAGAAAACCUUCAGCUUAACUGGAGACUUGCCAUUGAUACUGUUAGUCUUGAGUACGGUCAAGGUAGGCGGAAUGUGUAAUGUAGCGGUGAAAUGCUUAGAUAUUACACAGAACACCGAUUGCGAAGGCAGCUUACUGGGCCAUUACUGACGCUGAGGCACGAAAGCGUGGGGAGCGAACAGGAUUAGAUACCCCAGUAGUC
rnacentral:rRNA from 1 species